UACGGGGGGUGCGAGCGUUGUCCGGAAUCACUGGGCGUAAAGGGCGCGUAGGUGGCGUCGUAAGUUUGUGGUGAAAGCCCGGAGCUCAACUCCGGGUCUGCCGCGAAUACUGCGAGGCUUGAGUACUGUAGAGGGGGUAGAAUAUCGGGUGUAGCGGUGGAAUGCGUAGAGAUCCGAUAGAAGACCGGUGGCGAAGGCGGCUGACUGGACACAUGAUUGACGCUGGAGGCUCGAAAGCAUGGGGAGCAAACAGG
rnacentral:rRNA from 1 species